rnacentral:lncRNA from 1 species
UUAUAGCAAGUGAGAGAAAACCUCCAUUGUUGAAUUCUCUGUUUUCUUCCAUGGCGGAUUUCUCUUUUACAAUGAAAAGAGAGUGCAGGGACUAGAGUUUUCUUUUCGGAUAUCGACAAGAUUCAUCAGCCAACAAUCCAAUUUCAGUCUUUUCUCACUGAAAUUGUCACACCCACAGGCCUAAAAUCACACGUUAAGGGGAGAAGAAAGAGCAGG